rnacentral:rRNA from 1 species
GUUUUCUGCUCAAUGUCCUAAUAAUAAAUUGCCGCAAUAAAUUGUGCUAAGGUAGCAUAAUAACUUGUCUAUUAAUUGUAGACUAGAAUGAAAGAAAUAAUGAGAUUUUCUCUCUCUCAUAGAAUAUAUUAAAAUUUUAUCUAAAGAUGAAGAAGUCUUUAUCAGACCGUAAGACAAAAAGACCCUUGGAGCUUAAAUUGCUAGAUUCUAACAACUAUAAUAUCUAUAAAAUUUGACUGGGAUGAUCAAUANUUAAAAUAAUCAAUUUUAACACUAACGAUAAACAAAUCUCAUAAUAUCGAAUAAAUACCAUGAACCAGAUUUUUCUGAUCAAAGAAUUAAAGCUACCCUAGGGAUAACAGAUUAAUUUUCUUUUAAAGUCCAUAUUAAAAAGAAAGAUUAACACCUCGAUGUUGGCUUAUAAAAUUUACUUAGAGCAAAAACUAUA